GGCCUGGUGGUCUAGUAGUAUGAUUCCUUCUUAGGGCUCUUGUCUCGCAGCUCACUUGGAGGAGGUCCCGGGUUCAAUUCCCGGCCAGGCCC